GUCCACGCCGUAAACGAUGGAUACUAGCUGUUGGGCGCAAGUUCAGUGGCUAAGCGAAAGUGAUAAGUAUCCCACCUGGGGAGUACGUUCGCAAGAAUGAAACUCAAAGGAAUUGACGGGGGCCCGCACAAGCGGUGGAGCAUGUGGUUUAAUUCGAUGAUACGCGAGGAACCUUACCAAGGCUUAAAUGUAGAUUUACCGGUUUGGAAACAGACUUUUUCGCAAGACAAUUUACAAGGUGCUGCAUGGUUGUCGU
rnacentral:rRNA from 1 species